GCAAACUUGGUCAUUUAGAGGAAGUAAAAGUCGUAACAAGGUUUCCGUAGGUGAACCUGCGGAAGGAUCAUUACAUGGCGGAGGAGGUGGGCACCUGGUAACCCUAGGUGUGAUGCCUUCACGCAUUUCUACCCUUGUCUAUUUGCACCUUUUGUCGUUCCCUCGGUGGGUCCUCGAACCUGCCGGUGGCAACUUUACAAACCUUUUUUUUUUGCAGUAAUAUCUGAUUCAAAUAUCAAAUCGUUACAACUUUCAACAAUGGAUCUCUUGGUUCUGGCAUCGAUGAAGAACGCAGC
rnacentral:misc_RNA from 1 species